rnacentral:rRNA from 1 species
CCUACGGGUGGCAGCAGUGGGGAAUAUUGGACAAUGGGCGAAAGCCUGAUCCAGCCAUGCCGCGUGUGUGAAGAAGGCCUUCGGGUUGUAAAGCACUUUCAGUGGGGAAGAAAGCCUUGGGGCUAAUACCCUCGAGGAAGGACAUCACCCACAGAAGAAGCACCGGCUAACUCCGUGCCAGCAGCCGCGGUAAUACGGAGGGUGCGAGCGUUAAUCGGAAUUACUGGGCGUAAAGCGCGCGUAGGCGGUCUGAUAAGCCGGUUGUGAAAGCCCCGGGCUCAACCUGGGAACGGCAUCCGGAACUGUCAGGCUAGAGUGCAGGAGAGGAAGGUAGAAUUCCCGGUGUAGCGGUGAAAUGCGUAGAGAUCAGGAGGAAUACCAGUGGCGAAGGCGGUCUUCUGGACUGACACUGACGCUGAGGUGCGAAAGCGUGGGUAGCAAACAGGAUUAGAUACCCUAGUAGUC